rnacentral:rRNA from 1 species
AGAGUUUGAUCAUGGCUCAGAUUGAACGCUGGCGGCAUGCCUUACACAUGCAAGUCGAACGGCAGCACGGGGGGUAACCCCUGGUGGCGAGUGGCGAACGGGUGAGUAAUACAUCGGAACGUAUCCUGUAGCGGGGGAUAACCUCUCGAAAGAGAGGCUAAUACCGCAUACGACCUACGGGUGAAAGAGGGGGAUCGCAAGACCUCUCACUAUUGGAGCGGCCGAUGUCGGAUUAGCUAGUUGGCGGGGUAAAAGCCCACCAAGGCUACGAUCCGUAGCUGGUCUGAGAGGACGACCAGCCACACUGGAACUGAGACACGGUCCAGACUCCUACGGGAGGCAGCAGUGGGGAAUUUUGGACAAUGGGCGCAAGCCUGAUCCAGCCAUGCCGCGUGGGUGAAGAAGGCCUUCGGGUUGUAAAGCCCUUUCGGCUGGGACGAAAAGGUUCGGGUUAAUAACCCGGAUCCAUGACGGUACCAGCAGAAGAAGCACCGGCUAACUACGUGCCAGCAGCCGCGGUA